rnacentral:rRNA from 1 species
ACACAUGCAAGUCGAGGGGCAGCAUGGUCUUAGCUUGCUAAGGCCGAUGGCGACCGGCGCACGGGUGAGUAACGCGUAUCCAACCUGCCUUACACUCUUGGACAGCCUUCUGAAAGGGAGAUUAAUACAAGAUGUUAUCAUGAGUAAGCAUUUUCGCAUGAUUAAAGGUUUACCGGUGUAAGAUGGGGAUGCGUUCCAUUAGAUAGUAGGCGGGGUAACGGCCCACCUAGUCUUCGAUGGAUAGGGGUUCUGAGAGGAAGGUCCCCCACAUUGGAACUGAGACACGGUCCAAACUCCUACGGGAGGCAGCAGUGAGGAAUAUUGGUCAAUGGACGAGAGUCUGAACCAGCCAAGUAGCGUGAAGGAUGAAGGUUCUAUGGAUUGUAAACUUCUUUUAUACGGGAAUAAACGAAUCCACGCGUGGGUUUUUGCAUGUACCGUAUGAAUAAGGAUCGGCUAACUCCGUGCCAGCAGCCGCGGUAAUACGGAGGAUCCGAGCGUUAUCCGGAUUUAUUGGGUUUAAAGGGAGCGUAGAUGGGUUGUUAAGUCAGUUGUGAAAGUUUGCGGCUCAACCGUAAAAUUGCAAUUGAUACUGGCAGUCUUGAGUACAGUUGAGGUAGGCGGAAUUCGUGGUGUAGCGGUGAAAUGCUUAGAUAUCACGAAGAACUCCGAUUGCGAAGGCAGCUUACUAACCUGU